rnacentral:rRNA from 1 species
GGCAACAGCUCAAAUUUGAAAUCUGGCUCCUUCGGGGCCCGAGUUGUAAUUUGGAGAGGAUGUUUCGGGCACGGUCCGGGCUUAAAUUUCUUGGAACAGAAUGUCACGGAGGGUGAGAAUCCCGUCUGGAGCUCGGACACGACCCAUGUGAAACUCCUUCGACGAGUCGAGUUGUUUGGGAAUGCAGCUCUAAAUGGGUGGUAAAUUUCAUCUAAAGCUAAAUAUUGGCCAGAGACCGAUAGCGCACAAGUAGAGUGAUCGAAAGAUGAAAAGCACUUUGAAAAGAGAGUUAAACAGUACGUGAAAUUGUUGAAAGGGAAGCGCUGGCAACCAGACUUGCGCGUCGGGGUUCCCCCUUGCUUCUGCCUGGGUUACUCCCCGGCGUUCAGGCCAACAUCGGUUUCGGGGGUCGGUUAAAGGCCCUGGGAAUGUACCUACCCUCCGGGGUAGACUUAUAGCCCAGGGUGUCAUGCGGCCUCCCGGGACCGAGGAACGCGCUUCGGCUCGGAUGUUGGCGUAAUGGUUGUCAGCGACCCGUCUUGAGACACGGACCAAGGAGUCUAACAUCUAUGCGAGUGUUAGGGUGUCAAACCCUUACGCGGAAUGAAAGUGAACGGAGGUAGGAAGCCUUACGGCUGCACUAUCGACCGAUCCUGAAGUUUACGGAUGGAUUUGAGUAAGAGCAUAGCUGUUGGGACCCGAAAGAUGGUGAACUAUGCCUGAAUAGGGUGAAGCCAGAGGAAACUCUGGUGGAGGCUCGCAUCGAUCGUCAAAUUUGGGUAUAGGGGCGAAAGACUAAUCGAACCAUCUGGUAGCUGGUUCCUGCCGAAGUUUCCCUCAGGA